GUACCUCUAUACGGCGUAACGUAAACCAAUCCAGGGCAUCUUCGUCAUCACCCACAUGUCUCCAGCGCCUAUAAUUACGGCCCCAUGCGCUCUCUCCCUAGCUGCUCGAAGAAGAGAGUAGGAAGAAGGAUAAGAGAGAGAAAGAAGAGAGGGGAUGGCAUGAGACGCGCAUGGCGUGGAACGAUCACCGUUGAGGAGUUCGGUCGUGCCGCGCUGUGUGCGUCUGAUGCCAUCUCUCUCAAGUUGCAGCGUGCGUACGUCUCGGGAGAGCACUCCUGGAGUGGUGCAUGGAGCCCCGGAGGCGUGGCCGAUACCCGUAGAUAUAUCAUCCAUCGGUAUAGAGGGAAGUCUGGAAUUAGUGAUUUACAUACCGGUGAUUCUGCGAGAUUUCUUCUGGGUGGUUCCAAUGCUCGAUGCGCUUCGAGUCGCGCCCGGCCGUCGCUUUCGCAGAACCGACCACGCUGCGUACCAGCGGACAGGAUGGAAUCAAUCGGCAGAGCGGAGGGCAGAUAUGAGGCUCGCGUCGAGCUGUCCACGUCGGAAUCCCGGAAAGGUUGCAUCCUUCGCGCGAAAUAAGGAUUAAUCAUCCUUUGCGCGAAUCCACCGUUGGAUCAUCCACCGGACAGUUCUCAAAGCGACCGGUGCGCGAUCCAACGGUGGACUCGAGCAAAGGAAGACGGAUCCUUCGUUCUUGAGAAAGAUACGACCCCAAUCCAUUACGUCACUUAUUACGGCAUGGGGCGGGAAAGCGACGCAGGGCGAGCGUCACGGGCGUGACGUGCAUCACGUGAAGGACCGCCGGGGACGGUUGGGUUUUCUGUCGGACAUACGUUGUACGUUUUUUUCUGUAUAUAAACUGGACGGUAUAAUUAAAAGCUGCAAUCUCUGACGGCACAAUCGCGACGUCACGCGUGGUUCAUAUCCACCAACGGAAACAGACGAGGGCAAAUGGAAAUCUUACACGAAAAAUGGUCACACAGCUGACAAGUGGCAACGCUACUUUUUCUCUCUCCAAACCUUUUAUUUUUCUUCACCGGCUUACAGCCUGCACCUUAUUGGAUGUUAGCUGUAUACGGCGCUGGUGUACAAUAUCUGUGUGUUACUUUGGGAGUUCUAAUGCGUUGAAUGAUUCUCU